rnacentral:rRNA from 1 species
GACGAACGCUGGCGGCGUGCUUAACACAUGCAAGUCGAACGGAAAGGCCCUGCUUGCAGGGUACUCGAGUGGCGAACGGGUGAGUAACACGUGGGUGAUCUGCCCUGCACUUCGGGAUAAGCUUGGGAAACUGGGUCUAAUACCGGAUAGGAGCCAUCUUUAGUGUGGUGGUUGGAAAGUUUUUUCGGUGUAGGAUGAGCUCGCGGCCUAUCAGCUUGUUGGUGGGGUAAUGGCCUACCAAGGCGGCGACGGGUAGCCGGCCUGAGAGGGUGUACGGCCACAGUGGGACUGAGAUACGGCCCAGACUCCUACGGGAGGCAGCAAUGGGGAAUAUUGCACAAUGGGCGCAAGCCUGAUGCAGCGACGCCGCGUGGGGGAUGAAGGCCUUCGGGUUGUAAACUCCUUUCGCUAGGGACGAAGCUUUUUUGUGACGGUACCUAGAUAAGAAGCACCGGCUAACUACGUG